rnacentral:rRNA from 1 species
GGCGGUCAGAUACCGGCCUAGUUCUGACCGUAAACGAUGCCAACUAGCGAUCCGCCAGUCGACUCAUCGCUCUGGUGGGGAGCUUCCCGGAAACGAAAGUCUUCCGGUUCCGGGGGAAGUAUGGUUGCAAAGCUGAAACUUAAAGGAAUUGACGGAAGGGCACCACCAGGAGUGGAGCCUGCGGCUUAAUUUGACUCAACACGGGGAAACUCACCCGGCCCGGAUACCGUAAGGAUUGACAGAUUGAUAGCUUUUUCAUGAUUCGGUGGAUGGUGGUGCAUGGCCGUUCUUAGUUCGUGGAGCGAUUUGUCUGGUUUAUUCCGAUAACGAGCGAGACUCUGGCCUACUAAAUAGUUGACGCAUUGCCACUGUGCGCACAACUUCUUAGAGGGAUUUUCGGUGUUUUCAACCGCACGAAAUUGAGCAAUAACAGGUCUGUGAUGCCCUUAGAUGUCCGGGGCUGCACGCGCGCUACACUGGCAAACGCAACGUGCCUGUCCUGCCCCGAAAGGAGCGGGUAAACCCCUGAAAUUUUGCCGUGAUUGGGAUCGGACAUUGCAACUAUUGUCCGUGAACGAGGAAUUCCUUGUAGGGGCGAGUCAUCAACUCGUCCCGAAUACGUCCCUGCCCUUUGUA